rnacentral:lncRNA from 1 species
CACCCCUUUUGCUGAGCCGAGUUGGCGGCCAGAAGGAGCAGCUCUGAGGCUGCACACUUGGCCAGGAGGAGGGCGGGGGCCCGGUGGAGGCCAGGGCAGGCAGGGACCGGAGGAGGCUGGGGCUGGCUCCAGUGCUGGGCGGAGCCUCCCAGGAAAGGUCACCUGUCCGUCACUUCCUCAUUCAUCAAAUUUGUACCGAUUCCUGGCCUGGGUGCAAGGCGGGAGGAGGGGAGAUGGCCAGGAGUGAACACACAGCCCUGCCCUCAGGGGGCUUAGAAGGGGUCACAAGCAUCGCCACCACCGUGAAACAUAAACCAUGAGGCUUCUGCCCCUGAAGGAGGGUGGGUAACAUCUGCAGCGCGGAGCAGGGAAGAAGGAGGCCCCGGAAUAAGGAGAGCUCCUGCAGACGGUGCAGGGAGCGGCAGUCUGUCAGGGCAAGAACGAUUCGGCCAGGUUUGGGGGAUGCGAGGGCAUCCCAGGUGGUGCCUGUGCCCCCAGGAUGUGUCCACGUUGGGCCUGACGCUGCACCCCACACGGCAAGGCUGCAGCAGAGUGGAAAUGGCGGAGGGUCCCCAGGCAGGUGGGACUGAGGACAGUCUUACAGAGCCCCUCGCUGCAGCUGAGCGGAGGAAGGCCAGGAGCAGAGGAUCCAGGGGUGGCCUUAUGGAUCCAACUGUCUUCCCCCAAUCAAGUGAAGGGGAGGGCAUUAGGGUGGCCCUAGUCCAAUGUGACUGGAGUCCUUAUAAAAAGAGGAGGAGACGCAGCAGAGAUCACAGUGAUGCAUCCACAAGCCUGGGGCUCCCGGAAGCUGGAAGAGGCAAGGAGGGAUCCUUCUCCACAGGCUUCGGAGGAAGUGUGGCACCUGCGAUACCUUGAUCUCAGACUUCUAGACUCCAGACUGUAAUACAUUUCUGUUGUCUUAAGCCAGCCAGUUUGGGGCACUUUGUUACACAGCUCUAGUAAACCAGGACAGAUGGGGAGAUGCUUGACUCCGAGAUGAGACGUUAGGCAAUGCAAGGUCCACCGUGAACAUCAUCGAAUGCCCACACGAUGCCCAGAGACCAGGGCAGACCAAACCAGCCACCCCAGAGCAGGUCAGUGACAGCAGGUAGGACAAGACACUCCUUCCUCGACCUCUUGAGGCGGCAUAAACUCCUCCACACAUCCAGACCCCAACCACAAAAGGAAACAGAAGGGAGACACGCUGAGCGCAGAGGAACCACCCUGACAAGGAGUUAGGGCCUUGAGUUGACCAGAUAUUUGCCUGGAAGAGACUGUCUUCACAAAGGAAGAGACUGACUUUCAGUUUUGUCACCUCCACCUCCUCCACUGCCAAGACAGCAGCAGGAAAGGGCGCGCAAGGUCAAAAUGAGAUCCAUUCUAGAAAAUCAAGUUUUUUCACACGCCUUGGUCCAAGAGUGUACAUUUCAUCCCACUACACUCGUUUUCACAAAUAGUCUCUGUGGAGUUGGGCCACCUCUUUAAGCACGGAUAGAGGAGGGGCUCAGAGGAGGGACACCGAGGUGGGCUGAAUUGGUGCGUCUCCAGAUGGGGUGACCUCAUUUAAUCAUGAGGAUGUUCACUGGAGCAUGGCUUAUAAACGCAAAAUACUGGAAGCAACCUAAAUAUCCAACCAUAUGGGACUGCGUAAAUAAAUGAUU